rnacentral:lncRNA from 1 species
CAAGCAUGCCUUGCUGGAUCCUUGAUGCUGAAGGACAUCUGCCUACCUGAUGGUAGAGGCAUCCUGCUACACUUACCCCUGUCGUCCUGUAGAGAUGGCCAUCGAUGACCGACUAGACUAGACAACUCAAGGUGUUUACUUUGGAUGCCCUCCCAGGCACUCCUCCCAGGGCUUAAUGACUGGAUUUACUGCAUCAAUUAGCCAUCAGGGUCUCUGAGAGGCCUGGCUGGCUGAUCGAUUGUUCUCUAGCAGCUGAUGUCCCCUUGCCGUGCUGUUCUGCACUGCCCUGUACCAUGCUAACUGCUUGUCUGAAUGUAAACUUAGUACAAUGUAAUUAAAUCAAAUCAAACAUUUUCUACUC